GGGCGCGCCGCCUCAGCGCUGAGUGGCCAGCGCCCGCUCCAGGGGUCCUUGGCACCGCGAGCUGUGCGCGGGCUGGCCACUGCCUCGCACAGCCUCAAUAGCCAGCGGCUGUCCUCUGAGCUUCUGCCAGCUUUCUCCAUCUUCCUCUUCCUCUUGCGUGGGCAGCCGGAGUUGGGCUGCGGGAGUCACGUGCACCUGUGGGAGAAUGGGGGGCUGUGGGAGUGAAUUUCUGUUUCCUGGCGUUGACUCCGUGUUCCCUGCGGGCUGGUGGUAUGCCUGCCGGUCAGGGGAGGCUGGCUCUGCAUCCAUCUGAAGGUGGGCCGAGGUACUGCGCGCCUGGACCUUCUGGCCUGGGGCCUGUCAACUCCCCAUGGAUGCUGGGCUCCAGCCUGGAGCUAAGAGCUGGGGAGGGCAAAUGGGAGGAAGAGCUUUCCCAGUGGUAAGUCUCAUUUUUGGUGGAGCAGCCCCUUUUCCUUCCUUCAUUCCCUCUUAACUCCUCUCUACUGCACCUUUUUCCUCCUCCUCCACUUGGUUUGUCUUCUGGAUCAUUCCCUAAGUGUCUGCAGCACCUCCUUCCCCACUGGCGCCCAGGAGUUCUGUAUAUGCCCCCUCUCACUACAGACCAAUUCCAAAUCGGAAGAGGCUUUGCAGUUUUUCCUCAGGAUGGCCACCAUCAAGUAUGAACUUCAGAAGAGGAAGAGCUUCACUAUAGGAAGUGGAUUGGUUGCCACGGCCUGUGCAGUCAGCAUCUUACUAAAAGUAAGUUGUACACCGUUCUCAACAAGUCAGUGCAAUCAGCCUCUUAAGAAAAAAAAUUAAGCUUAGGGGAUCAUAUAUAAGCUAAUACGUGAUAAUAGAAAUUAGCUAUGCCAGAGAGCCAUUUGAGUACGUUGCCUUUAAAGAGAAAGUUUUUUCAUCUGCCUGUGCUGCCUUGCUCCAUGGCUGCUUCCUAGCACAGUCAGCUAUAGCCCCAGGAAAGCAGCUGUUGCUCAAGAGCGGUCAGUCGCUUGCUGCUUCAGCUCUGAUCAAGUCUGUCAGGUGCUUGGACACAUUGAAGAAGCAGGUGGGUAGGUAUAUGGCAUUUUCAGAAGUGGCGAGGUCCUCAAGUGAGUUACCACGUCAGCAAAAUAACUCAAUUUUUGACAGAUUAUGAACAAACCAGAAAACUUCUCUUCAUGUACUUUAUUAUUCUAAAAUAAAAUAUAUACAUAUUUUAGAAAGCUGCUUUAA
rnacentral:lncRNA from 1 species